GGGAGUGUAGCUCAGGUGGUAGAGCACUUGACUUUUAAUCAAGUUGUCCGGGGUUCGAAUCCCCGCACUCUCA
rnacentral:tRNA from 2 species